UACGUAGGCAGCGAGCGUUGUUCGGAAUUACUGGGCGUAAAGAGUGUGUAGGCGGUGCUCUAAGUUCGGUGUGAAAUCCCCAGGCUUAACCUGGGAAGUGCGCGCGAAACUGGCGAGCUUGAAUGCCGGAGAGGGUCGCGGAAUUCCCGGUGUAGAGGUGAAAUUCGUAGAUAUCGGGAGGAACACCAGUGGCGAAGGCGGCGACCUGGACGGACAUUGACGCUGAGACGCGAAAGCGUGGGGAGCAAACAGG
rnacentral:rRNA from 1 species